rnacentral:lncRNA from 1 species
GUCAGAAUCGCUACCUAUUGUCCAAAGCAGUCGUAAGAAGAGGUCCCAAUCCCCCACUCUUUCCGCCCUAAUGGAGGUCUCCAGUUUCGGUAAAAGUUUCAUUUGAUCUGAAUAGUAUUAAAAUAAAAUACCUGGAUGAGGAAGAUGAAGAGGUGCUGGAAGCCCAGGAAGCACACAUCAAGGCUCCCUUGCCAGCAGGGUGCUGCCAAUAAAAGGUAGUCACGUGGAAUUUGGAAUGUGGAAAGGAGGUAGAAGUCAUCCUUUCCUCCCCUGUAGCAGCAGGCGUGCAGGCUCUGGUGGUCAGCUGGACUCCAUACUCCCCCACCAGUCACCAGCCUGGGGACCGUGGGGCUGCAAGGACCUCAGCAGCGGUGUCCCAAGUUUCCUGACUUCUUCCAUCCUCUGGAAAUCAGCUGUGGUAAAGAUUCCUAAAUCCCUUGGAAUUUUCUGCAUGAUAGGAGCGUCCUUUGUUCUCAUGAGGUGACUCUUGGUGGGCUCCUUAUUUGGGGACUGGUCACCAAAAAUACCUAACUAUGGUUGGAAGCUUAGUGCUUUCAGCCCCAUUCCCCAUCCUCUGGGGUGGGGAGCAGAGCUGGAGCUCGAUCAUGCCUGCGUGACAAAGCCUCCAGAAAAAUCCUUGAAAGACAGGACAUGGAGAGCUGCUGGGUUGGCGAACACAUCCAUGUGCCGGGAGGAUGGUGCACCCCAACUCCACAAGGACCCUUCCAGACCUCACCCUGUGUAUCUCUUCAUCUGGCUGUUCAUUUGGCUCAGUCCUUUGGAUGUUAAUCCACCUGGGCUGGUGCACCUAAAUAAUAAAGAUC